CACAAUAAACAUAUGAAGGCUGCUACCGCCGACAGUGCUCGGGCAAGUGCUGGAGGUGAAUUAUUUAUUACCCUUGUCUUUUGCGCACUUGUUGUUUCCUGGGCGGGUUCGCCCGCCAUCCAGGACCACAUCAUAAACCUUUUUUAUGCAGUUGCAAUCAGCGUCAGUACUAACAAAUGUAAAUCAUUUA
rnacentral:misc_RNA from 1 species